ACAACCUGGUUAGGAUAAAAUGAAGGUACCAAUUGUAUGAACUCUUGAAAGAAGAACAUACAGGGCUGUUGAUUUCUAAGGCUUUAGUGUAUUUUUCCAACCUGCCCAAAUUGGGCAUGCUUGAUGCUAUGAAUAGCUCCAAGUGAUUUAUACUGAUUCUUGGCCCACCAGCAACCCCACACAAAUGUGAUUACCAGUUAUCCCCAGAUCUUUGAACUGGACCAGUUCACAGUAGUGUCACUAGGAGGCUGUGACACCAGAUGGGGGGUGACACCCGAUGAGCGCUCCUGGCGAAACGUCAGGAAGAAAAUCUUCUAGAACAUGGCCACAUAGCCCGAAAAACCUACAAAAACUAAGCCUUCGACUUCACAACUGGGUGACCUUGGAAGUAGUACCCUCUGUCACAGAGAAAGAUAAUAACAAAUCCCCUCUGAACAAAUCUUCCCAAGAAAGCUUCAUGAUAGGGUUGGCAGCCAAAAACAACUUGAAAUCUCACAAUUACAACAGAAAUCCUCAAAAUGUUACCUUGUUUAAGAACAUGUGUGCUGAUAGGUCAGAACCAAAUCCCUUUCUUUAUUAAAAAACAACAACACAGCAACCAGAAAGCAUUGAAUGGAUAAUCAGAAAUUAGGUAUUGUUCCACCAGUGUAUUGCAAUCAACUUUUUGACCAUUUCCCCCUUCGGUCAAUAUUCCAGCGCAUAAGUAAUCCUUGCGUGUACCGUGAUUGUAGCUAUAGCUUUUAGAGGUUUAUGCAUCCUUCCAUUUUCCAAUCAACCUGUGCAAUGCAUGAACUUUUAUGAUUAGCUGGUUCGUUUGUUUCAGCUCAAAACAAAAUGUCUACUAGGCUUCUAACUCAAGUAAUGCGCUCUUGCUGAGAAUUUUAACCCACCUAAUGUGGCCACAGCUAUUACUUUAGUCCAGAAAGAAUUACUCAUGAUUCCCUGUCUGGCACUGAGCUUAUCAAAACAUGAAAAUAUAUCAACUCGUAAAGCAAAAUCUGAAGUGUAUAUAUUUAUCUCUGUAAGAACUCAGCUUUUUGGAGUCCAUCAAAAUGUGGUAAUUACCAGACAGUAUAAUUCUUUGAAAAUCUGUCGAACCAACCACUAAUUUUAAAGUUCACUGUACAAAAAUGUGCUUAAGCUGCCCCUCACCCUGACCUGAUUGAAUAUAGACUAUGGCUGGUGCCAAACUGCAGAAAUAAUGUAGUUUGACAAGGCUUUCACUCUCAUGGCUCAAUGUUAUGGAAUUCUGGGAUUUGUAGUUUGUUGGGGAGCACCAGGGUUCAAAGAAGGCUAUAUAUCUCACAAAACUAUAAGCUGCAGAAUCCCAUAACUUUGAACCAUGGCAGUUAAGUGGUGUCAAACUGUAUUAUCUUUUCAGUCUGAGUGCAGCCUAAAUUUGCACUGUGAGCUCACUUUGCAGGAAUGGAAGUAAGCUGGGGACAAAGGAGGAAGUUGGAGGAGGAGGAAGAAACCAGGACAUUUUAAAAACAACUGAAAAAGUGGGAUGACAGAGGAUUACUCAGGAUUGUCCCUGCCAAAUAAGGAUGGUUGGAACAUACGCCGGUCAUCUGAACACCUGAAAAUACAUAGGAGAUUCUUAGCACCAUCACCACUGGUGUGAAUCACUCCCUCUGAUAUCAACAACAUAGCACCUAGAAUUGACCACAUGACUGGCUGCCUUAUUGCGACCUCAGCACUGAAGAGUGCUCUGGAUUUUCCAGCACCUUCUGGAGCAAAAGGUAUGGAGUGGACAGACCCAUCCCAGGUGGAUCCAUGGCAGUGUGGUCAUUAGAAGUCCCAGACACAAAAUACAGUCUGUCCAGCUGAGACCGCUCUUGCAAUUUUGUGGAAAGGCCUUUGUAUAUCAAACUAUUGGCUACUCCACACCAUAUGAACCUAGGUAUUUUCACUAAUGAUUUAAUAGAGCUCUCUUAGUAGUGUAGAGAUGUGGGAAAAUCUCUAUUUCUUUUGUUGCUGUUGAGUUUCCCAAAAUCCCACCUGCAUUUUCUUUCAAUCUUUGUUUUGUACUGCACUGUGAGACUUUUGUGUGUUUCUCCUCCCUGUAUUGUAAUUUGCAAAUUUGUUUCAUCCAUUUCCCCUAACUUGCACAUUUAUUUCAACAUGACUGUUAAACUCAAUAGAAUUUCUUUUUUCCCCUAGAGAGAUGUAUUGGGCCAGAAGUUUAUAGCUUUAGCAAGAGUGUGGUUAAAGCUUUAUUUAAUAGUAAAUGUGCAUAGGUCUCGUAGUGAGAAUGGGUCAAUGAAAGUUCUCUGUCCUGGGAAGAUAUGGAAGGGAGGUGGGAGGACGUUCCAGAGUAAGGAGAGAUAAGCAGUUUCCAGCUCAUCCUGGUAGCUGCUGAUCCGAUAAACAACUUGGUAGUUGGUAUGGGAACCUUUUCUUGGGCGCACAGGGUAGAUGAUGUGAUGCUUUAGCAGCUUUGUAAGAAAGGGUAUAUAAGAUAGUAGAGAACAAAAGCUGGCAGUCCUGCAUGGACAAUGUGUGAGUGUAAAGCGCUCUGGCAUGGCAUGUGGCUGGCCAGAGAUGCUGGGGGUCUGUUGUCUUUCCUUUUGACAGGUUAAGCUAGAGUGUGUGAUUGCUGUUCUUUUCCUUUAUGUUAUUUGAUGUAUGCUUUGUUUUCCUUUUGUUCUUUAUAUCCACUUGUUGGGAACUGGAAGUUGGAAUUGUGAAUCUAUGUUCUUUACUCUUCUUUUUACCUUAAAUAAACAACCUUCU